rnacentral:rRNA from 1 species
UACAGAGGUCUCAAGCGUUGUUCGGAUUCAUUGGGCGUAAAGGGUGCGUAGGUGGCGGGGUAAGUCAGGUGUGAAAUCUCGGAGCUCAACUCCGAAACUGCACUUGAUACUGCCUUGCUCGAGUACUGGAGAGGAGAUUGGAAUUUACGGUGUAGCAGUGAAAUGCGUAGAUAUCGUAAGGAAGACCAGUGGCGAAGGCGAAUCUCUGGACAGUUGCUGACACUGAGGCACGAAGGCCAGGGGAGCAAACAGG